GGAGGUUACUGCUAUCGAGCUCGACUAAGCCAUGCGAGUCGAAUGUAGCAAUACAUGGCGUACUGCUCAGUAACACGUGGACAACAUACCCUUGAGACGGGGAUAAACCCGGGAAACUGGGUAUAAUACCCGAUAGAUCUCGACUGCUGGAAUGCAUCGAGCUCCAAAGCUCCGGCGCUCAAGGAUGGGUAUGCGGCUUAUCAGGUAGUAGUGGGUGUAGCGUACCUACUAGCAUACGACGGGUACGGGUUGUGAGAGCAAGAGCCCGGAGAUGGAUUCUGAGACACGAAUCCAGGCCAUACGGGGUGCAGCAGGCUCGAAAACUUUACAAUGCCGGCAACGGCGAUAAGGGGACCUUGAGUGCCAGGUUACAAAUCUGGUUGUCGUGAUGCCUAAAAAGCAUUGCAUAGCAAGGUCCGGGCAAGACCGGUGCCAGCCGCCGCGGUAACACCGGCGGCUGGAGUGGUAACCGUUAUUAUUGGGUUUAAAGGGUCUGUAGCCGUCCGGAUAAGUCUCUUGGGAAAUCUGGCAGUUUAACUCUCAGGCUUUCAGGAGAUACUGUAUGGCUGGAGGCCGGGAGAGGUGAGAGGUACUUCAGGGGUAGGGGUGAAAUCUUGUAAUCCUUGAAGGACCACCAGUGGGGAAGGCGUCUCACCAGAACGGUCCUGACGGCAAGGGACGAAAGCUAGGGGCACGAACCGGAUUAGAUACCCGGGUAGUCCUAGCCGUAAACGAUACUCGCUAGGUGUCGGCCACGGUGCGACUGUUGUCGGUGCCGUAGGGAAGCCGUGAGGUGAGCCACCUGGGAAGUACGGCCGCAAGGCUGAAACUUAAAGGAAUUGGCGGGGGAGCACCACAACGGGUGGAGCUUGCGGUUUAAUUGGAUUCAACGCCGGAAA
rnacentral:rRNA from 1 species